GAUGAACGCUGGCGGCGUGCCUAAUACAUGCAAGUCGAGCGAACGGACGAGAAGCUUGCUUCUCUGAUGUUAGCGGCGGACGGGUGAGUAACACGUGGAUAACCUACCUAUAAGACUGGGAUAACUUCGGGAAACCGUAGCUAAUACCGGAUAAUAUUUUGAACCGCAUGGUUCAAAGGUGAAAGACGGUCUUGCUGUCACUUAUAGAUGGAUCCGCGCUGCAUUAGCUAGUUGGUAAGGUAACGGCUUACCAAGGCAACGAUGCAUAGCCGACCUGAGAGGGUGAUCGGCCACACUGGAACUGAGACACGGUCCAGACUCCUACGGGAGGCAGCAGUAGGGAAUCUUCCGCAAUGGGCGAAAGCCUGACGGAGCAACGCCGCGUGAGUGAUGAAGGUCUUCGGAUCGUAAAACUCUGUUAUUAGGGAAGAACAUAUGUGUAAGUAACUGUGCACAUCUUGACGGUACCUAAUCAGAAAGCCACGGCUAACUACGUG
rnacentral:rRNA from 1 species